GACGAACCGUGCGAACGUUGUUCGGAAUCACUGGGCUUAAAGGGCGCGUAGGCGGGCUCGCAAGUCUGUGGUGAAAGCCUCCAGCUUAACCGGAGAAGUGCCAUGGAUACCGCGCAUCUUGAGGAGGGUAGGGGCGUCUGGAACGGUCGGUGGAGCGGUGAGAUGCGUUGAUAUCGACCGGAACGCCGGUGGCGAAGGCGAGGCGCUGGACCCUUUCUGACGCUGAGGCGCGAAAGCCAGGGGAGCAAACGGG
rnacentral:rRNA from 1 species